UACGGAGGGUGCGAGCGUUGUCCGGAAUCAUUGGGCGUAAAGGGCGCGUAGGUGGCGGGACAAGCGUGCGGUGAAAGCCUGGGGCUCAACCCCGGGUCGGCCGUGCGAACUGUUUUGCUUGAGCACUGUAGAGGCAGGCGGAAUUCCGGGGUGUAGCGGUGGAAUGCGUAGAUAUCAGGAGGAACACCGGUGGCGAAGGCGGUGGUCUGGGCCGGCACUGACGCUGAGGAGCGAAAGCGUGGGGAGCAAACAGG
rnacentral:rRNA from 1 species